rnacentral:rRNA from 1 species
UACGUAGGGCGCAAGCGUUGUCCGGAAUUAUUGGGCGUAAAGAGCUCGUAGGCGGCUUGUCACGUCGGGGUGUGAAAGCCCGAGGCUUAACCUCGGGUCUGCAGUCGAUACGGGCUAGCUAGAGUGUGGUAGGGGAGAUCGGAAUUCCUGGUGUAGCGGUGAAAUGCGCAGAUAUCAGGAGGAACACCGGUGGCGAAGGCGGAUCUCUGGGCCAUUACUGACGCUGAGGAGCGAAAGCGUGGGGAGCGAACAGG